rnacentral:rRNA from 1 species
GCGGUGGAGCAUGUGGUUUAAUUCGAAGCAACGCGCAGAACCUUACCAGCCUUUGACAUGGCAGGACGAUUUUCAGAGAUGGAUCUCUUCCAGCAAUGGACCUGCACACAGGUGCUGCAUGGCUGUCGUCAGCUCGUGUCGUGAGAUGUGGGUUAAGUCCCGCAACGAGCGCAACCCUCGCCUUUAGUUGCCAUCAUUCAGUUGGGCACUCUAAAGGGACUGCCGGCGAUAAGCCGCGAGGAAGUGGGGAUGACGUCAAGUCCUCAUGGCCCUUACGGGCUGGGCUACACACGUGCUACAAUGGCGGUGACAGUGGGAUGCAAAGGGGCGACCCCUCGCAAAUCUCAAAAAGCCGUCUCAGUUCGGAUUGUACUCUGCAACUCGAGUGCAUGAAGUUGGAAUCGCUAGUAAUCGUGGAUCAGCAUGCCACGGUGAAUACGUUCCCGGGCCUU